GGCUCGGUAGCUUAGUUGGAAAAGCACUUGUCUAGGGUCGUGAGUUCAAAUCUCACCUGAGCUG
rfam:Aedes albopictus isolate Foshan contig13079, whole genome shotgun sequence.